UAGCUCAAGUGUUCCAUACAUAGUCAAACAUCCCAAUUAAAUUUCUUCCGCUCAAGCAAUCACACGGGUCUUUUUAUGUUCAUAGAAGAGUGGUUCUGACGGGUGAGAUAGAGGUUGUAAGUUCAUCAUGGAGUCAAGAUGUUAGAUUUAGACUCUCAUGAAAGACCUUGCAAAAUUGCAAGUUGAGAAUAACCAACUUCCAACAUUGAAGGUCAAUAGAUGAUAUUGCAAUCUGCUUUUUCUAGCAUUAUUAUUUUGUAAGAUGUUAUUACAUUCAUGUUGGUGCCCAAUCAAA